AUUGAACGCUGGCGGCAUGCCUUACACAUGCAAGUCGAACGGUAACGGGCCUUCGGGUGCCGACGAGUGGCGACCGGGUGAGUAAUACAUCGGAACGUGCCCGAUCGUGGGGGAUAACGAGGCGAAAGCUUUGCUAAUACCGCAUACGAUCUACGGAUGAAAGCAUGGGACCGCAAGGCCUUGCGCGGACGGAGCGGCCGAUGGCAGAUUAGGUAGUUGGUGGGAUAAAAGCUUACCAAGCCGACGAUCUGUAGCUGGUCUGAGAGGAUGAUCAGCCACACUGGGACUGAGACACGGCCCAGACUCCUACGGGAGGCAGCAGUGGGGAAUUUUGGACAAUGGGCGCAAGCCUGAUCCAGCCAUGCCGCGUGCAGGAUGAAGGCCUUCGGGUUGUAAAAUGCUUUUGUACGGAACGAAAAGCCUUCUUUUAAUACAGGAGGGUCAUGACGGUACCGUAAGAAUAAGCCCCGGCUAACUACGUG
rnacentral:rRNA from 1 species